UACGUAGGGGGCAAGCGUUGUCCGGAAUUAUUGGGCGUAAAGAGCGUGUAGGCGGUCCGGUAAGUCAGCUGUGAAAGUCAAGGGCUCAACCCUUGAAUGCCGGUUGAUACUGUCGGGCUAGAGUCCGGAAGAGGCGAGUGGAAUUCCUGGUGUAGCGGUGAAAUGCGCAGAUAUCAGGAGGAACACCAAUGGCGAAGGCAGCUCGCUGGGACGGUACUGACGCUGAGACGCGAAAGCGUGGGGAGCAAACAGG
rnacentral:rRNA from 1 species